rnacentral:rRNA from 1 species
AUUGAACGCUGGCCGCAGGCCUAACACAUGCAAGUCGAACGGUAACAGGAAGAAUCUUGCUUCUUUGCUGACGAGUGGCGGACGGGUGAGUAAUGUCUGGGAAACUGCCUGAUGGAGGGGGAUAACUACUGGAAACGGUAGCUAAUACCGCAUAACGUCGCAAGACCAAAGAGGGGGACCUUCGGGCCUCUUGCCAUCGGAUGUGCCCAGAUGGGAUUAGCUAGUAGGUGGGGUAACGGCUCACCUAGGCGACGAUCCCUAGCUGGUCUGAGAGGAUGACCAGCCACACUGGAACUGAGACACGGUCCAGACUCCUACGGGAGGCAGCAGUGGGGAAUAUUGCACAAUGGGCGCAAGCCUGAUGCAGCCAUGCCGCGUGUAUGAAGAAGGCCUUCGGGUUGUAAAGUACUUUCAGCGGGGAGGAAGGGAGUAAAGUUAAUACCUUUACUCAUUGACGUUACCCGCAGAAGAAGCACCGGCUAACUCCGUG